rnacentral:rRNA from 1 species
ACGAACGCUGGCGGCGUGCCUAAUACAUGCAAGUUGAGCGCUGAAGGUUGGUACUUGUACCAACUGGAUGAGCAGCGAACGGGUGAGUAACGCGUGGGGAAUCUGCCUUUGAGCGGGGGACAACAUUUGGAAACGAAUGCUAAUACCGCAUAAAAACUUUAAACACAAGUUUUAAGUUUGAAAGAUGCAAUUGCAUCACUCAAAGAUGAUCCCGCGUUGUAUUAGCUAGUUGGUGAGGUAAAGGCUCACCAAGGCGAUGAUACAUAGCCGACCUGAGAGGGUGAUCGGCCACAUUGGGACUGAGACACGGCCCAAACGCCUACGGGAGGCAGCAGUAGGGAAUCUUCGGCAAUGGACGAAAGUCUGACCGAGCAACGCCGCGUGAGAGAAGAAGGUUUUCGGAUCGUAAAACUCUGUUGGUAGAGAAGAACGUUGGUGAGAGUGGAAAGCUCAUCAAGUGACGGUAACUACCCAGAAAGGGACGGCUAACUACGUG